rnacentral:rRNA from 1 species
GAUGAACGCUAGCGGCAGGCCUAACACAUGCAAGUCGAGGGGUAGCAGGAUUAAGCUUGCUUAAUUGCUGACGACCGGCGCACGGGUGCGUAACGCGUAUGCAACCUACCUUAUACUGGGGUAUAGCCCGGAGAAAUUCGGAUUAAUCCCCCAUAGUACUAAUGAAUCGCAUGGUUUAUUAGUUAAAGCAUUGCGGUAUAAGAUGGGCAUGCGUCCUAUUAGCUAGAUGGUGAGGUAACGGCUCACCAUGGCUACGAUAGGUAGGGGGCCUGAGAGGGUGGUCCCCCACACUGGUACUGAGACACGGACAGACUCCUACGGGUGGCAGCAGUGAGGAAUAUUGGUCAAUGGGCGCAAGCCUGAACCAGCCAUGCCGCGUGCAGGAAGAAUGCCCUAUGGGUUGUAAACUGCUUUUAUUUGGGAAUAAACCUCUUUACGUGUAGAGAGCUGAAGGUACCAAAUGAAUAAGCACCGGCUAACUCCGUGCCAGCCGCCGCGGUAA